AUGGAGGAAAUGGUAGCAUCAGCAGUUGUGCAGGAGGCUGUGAGCGGAGCUGUCUCCUUCCUGUUCAGCAGCCGCGGCGAAAAGGCGUCCCAGGAGGAACUCAUGGAGAGGCUGGAGAUGGCGCACAUGAGACUGAAUUUGGCGCUCGAGAGGACCAGGAUGAUGCCCAUCACUAUCAUGACGUUGUUUUGCCUGAAGAAGAAGUUGAAGGAUGUCUCCAAGGAGUGCGGUGAUCUGCUCAGCAGGGCGAGGGAUCGUCAGCAAAUGGUACCCUCUGUACGCAGAAAGAUUAUGCAUACUGUGCUGCCCUCUUUCAUUGUCCCAAGUCAAGAUGUGUUGAGCAGCUCUCUGGUUGGAAGAUUUGAGCGGUUUGUCAAGGAAGCCGACAGGUAUGUCAGGGACGUGGAGUCUGGAUGUUCACUUUCUCACUACAGGUUUCUCAGCUCUCCCAUCAGACAUCUUCUUCAAGGCAAGGGUCUCUCCUACGACAUGGUGCAAGGAAGCAAGGCUUUCUCACUUCUUGUAUUGACGGGUUAUAUGGAAGAGUAUGGCAGAGUCGCAGUGCUAAAGUUUGAUUACAAAGAUCGCAAGGCGCCACUUAAAAAUUGUGAACUAACGCUGAUUCUAAGAAUAUACGAAAGCACAAACAUAGUUGGAAUUACUGCCAAAUGUUUGCGGUCACUUGGACCUCAAUUCAAGUCUUUGGUUGAGGAUGCAACUAGGGAACUCACCCAAUUACCUACACAAGACGUUUCAUAUUUCGAUUCAGUAUGGUGGGAAUCCAUGGUUAAAGUGACUACAGAUUGGAAUCCAGACCCAUUUUGGUGCAUAGCUAAUGGGGUCAACAAGCCUUGUGCUAGCAAUAUCAUCUCAUCGGAGUUAACAGGCAGAUUUCCACAAGAAGUUCUGUUUGUCAGAUUUACCUUCAGUUUUUCAGCUUCUGAGUACUGCUUUCGGAGCUCAACUGAUGAAGCGCGUAUAAACGCCAUAAAGGCCUGGCCACCUCCACAGAUGAAAGUUUACUUUGCACCUCAUCUGUCGUUUGGAUUCCACGACGGGAGUAGCUUACGCCAAAAGGAGGAGGAAAUACAAACAGAGGCGAUUGAUUGUUUCAUCCGUCAACCUGGUAUGACGGAAUACAAUAUGGUUUGGACCUCGGUGCAUGGUAUUGUAUCCUUUUAUGUAUUGAAGCAGAUCGCCAAAACUAGGAGGGCCGCAAAGAGAAGGCGGUAG
rnacentral:rRNA from 1 species